UUAAGUUAUUAAGGGCGCACGGUGGAUGCCUUGGCACUAGAAGCCGAUGAAGGACGUUACUAACGACGAUAUGCUUUGGGGAGCUGUAAGUAAGCUUUGAUCCAGAGAUUUCCGAAUGGGGAAACCCAGCAUGAGUUAUGUCAUGUUAUCGAUAUGUGAAUACAUAGCAUAUCAGAAGGCACACCCGGAGAACUGAAACAUCUUAGUACCCGGAGGAAGAGAAAGAAAAUUCGAUUCCCUUAGUAGCGGCGAGCGAAACGGGAAGAGCCCAAACCAACAAGCUUGCUUGUUGGGGUUGUAGGACACUCUAUACGGAGUUACAAAGGACGACAUUAGACGAAUCAUCUGGAAAGAUGAAUCAAAGAAGGUAAUAAUCCUGUAGUCGAAAAUGUUGUCUCUCUUGAGUGGAUCCUGAGUACGACGGAGCACGUGAAAUUCCGUCGGAAUCUGGGAGGACCAUCUCCUAAGGCUAAAUACUCUCUAGUGACCGAUAGUGAACCAGUACCGUGAGGGAAAGGUGAAAAGCACCCCGGAAGGGGAGUGAAAUAGAACCUGAAACCGUGUGCUUACAAGUAGUCAGAGCCCGUUAAUGGGUGAUGGCGUGCCUUUUGUAGAAUGAACCGGCGAGUUACGAUUUGAUGCAAGGUUAAGCAGUAAAUGUGGAGCCGUAGCGAAAGCGAGUCUGAAUAGGGCGUUUAGUAUUUGGUCGUAGACCCGAAACCAGGUGAUCUACCCUUGGUCAGGUUGAAGUUCAGGUAACACUGAAUGGAGGACCGAACCGACUUACGUUGAAAAGUGAGCGGAUGAACUGAGGGUAGCGGAGAAAUUCCAAUCGAACCUGGAGAUAGCUGGUUCUCUCCGAAAUAGCUUUAGGGCUAGCCUCAAGUGAUGAUUAUUGGAGGUAGAGCACUGUUUGGACGAGGGGCCCCUCUCGGGUUACCGAAUUCAGACAAACUCCGAAUGCCAAUUAAUUUAACUUGGGAGUCAGAACAUGGGUGAUAAGGUCCGUGUUCGAAAGGGAAACAGCCCAGACCACCAGCUAAGGUCCCAAAAUAUAUGUUAAGUGGAAAAGGAUGUGGCGUUGCCCAGACAACUAGGAUGUUGGCUUAGAAGCAGCCAUCAUUUAAAGAGUGCGUAAUAGCUCACUAGUCGAGUGACACUGCGCCGAAAAUGUACCGGGGCUAAACAUAUUACCGAAGCUGUGGAUUGUCCUUUGGACAAUGGUAGGAGAGCGUUCUAAGGGCGUUGAAGCAUGAUCGUAAGGACAUGUGGAGCGCUUAGAAGUGAGAAUGCCGGUGUGAGUAGCGAAAGACGGGUGAGAAUCCCGUCCACCGAUUGACUAAGGUUUCCAGAGGAAGGCUCGUCCGCUCUGGGUUAGUCGGGUCCUAAGCUGAGGCCGACAGGCGUAGGCGAUGGAUAACAGGUUGAUAUUCCUGUACCACCUAUAAUCGUUUUAAUCGAUGGGGGGA
rnacentral:rRNA from 1 species